rnacentral:rRNA from 1 species
UACGUAGGGGGCAAGCGUUGUCCGGAAUCAUUGGGCGUAAAGCGCGUGUAGGCGGUUCGGUAAGUCGGCUGUGAAAGUCCAGGGCUCAACCCUGGGAUGCCGGUCGAUACUGCCGGACUAGAGUUCGGAAGAGGCGAGUGGAAUUCCCGGUGUAGCGGUGAAAUGCGCAGAUAUCGGGAGGAACACCAAUAGCGAAGGCAGCUCGCUGGGACGUUACUGACACUGAGGCGCGAAAGCGUGGGGAGCGAACAGG